GAUGCGUCAUUAUCUUCAGGUUCCACCUCGGUGGAUGAAAAGGGAACCCGGUGCAAAUCCGGGACGGGCCCGCCGCUGUAAUCCUGUCCUUCGUGUUGUUGUAAGGAACUCUCCCAGCCUUGGGUGCCACUGCAUUUUGUGGGAAGGCCGCUGGUAGAGCAGGAAAGUCAGAAGACCUGCCUGAAGAGAACCGUCGAA
rnacentral:ncRNA from 2 species